rnacentral:tRNA from 1 species
GGAAUGUAGCUCAGUUGUAGAGUGCUUGCCUAAUAUGCAUGAGGCCCUGUGUUCAAUACCCAGUACCA